GCCAGUGUGGUGUAGUGGUUUGAGCGUUGGACUGUGACUCUUGAGACCAGGGUUCAAAUCUCAGCUUGGCCA
rnacentral:tRNA from 1 species